rnacentral:rRNA from 1 species
GACGAACGCUGGCGGCGUGCUUAACACAUGCAAGUCGAACGGAAAGGCCCUGCUUUUGUGGGGUGCUCGAGUGGCGAACGGGUGAGUAACACGUGAGUAACCUGCCCUUGACUUUGGGAUAACUUCAGGAAACUGGGGCUAAUACCGGAUAGGAGCUCCUGCUGCAUGGUGGGGGUUGGAAAGUUUCGGCGGUUGGGGAUGGACUCGCGGCUUAUCAGCUUGUUGGUGGGGUAGUGGCUUACCAAGGCUUUGACGGGUAGCCGGCCUGAGAGGGUGACCGGCCACAUUGGGACUGAGGUACGGCCCAGAAUGCUACGGGAGGCAGCAGUGGGGAAUAUUGCACAAUGGGGGGAAGCCUGAUGCGGCAACGCCGGGUGCGGGAUGACGGCCUUCGGGUUGAAAACCGAUGUCGCCGGUGACGAAGCGUGAGUGACGGUAAUGAGUAAAGAAGCACCGGCUAACUACGUG